CGGAGGAUCACCAUGGCAAAAACCAUACUGCAGUGCUCUGGUUUGUAGAAUGAACAAUGAUAAUAAAAGCUGUUAUUAUUAUUAGUCUUAAUUAUCCAUUUUAUUUUAUUCGUUACUCUGGCUCAUGCCCCAUCCACCAACAUGGAGGGAGCAGGAUAAAUGGCAUGUGAUGGAGUUUGCGUAUAUUUGUGUUUAUAUCCAUUAUUUACCCCACCUUUAAUCAACAGUGAAAGUAAUUUGUAGAAUCACUAUAUUUUAGUCUUCAGCGAAACAGACCAUUGUUCCAGUUGCGGCCCGGAGAAUCCCAAUGGACAGAAGGGAAACACAAAAUGGGUUGAAUGCACUAAAUGCAAGAGGUGGUACCAUCCGCCCUGCAUGGCCAUGUCGGAUGAAGAAUGGGAAAAAGAGGAAGUAGCAUUGAAAUGGAACUGUGGCCUUUGCUGAUUUACCGUACAAGGUGUCUACGUUACAUAUCUAACUUUGAAUGUGCCUGGUAUGUGUGUAAUGUAUAAAGUGAACAUAGAAUAGAUAGAAUUCCUUCCAAUUCCUGGCUGUAAAAUUCAUUUUAGUCUAAUCAAUUUGCUUUAGCAACUCUCAAUUAAUGCUAAACUACCUGAAAGGUUGUAUGUUUCAUGCCAAAAUAAAUAUUUGCAUGCUUGAUCUAAAUUAAGAGCAGCAAAUUCUGAAGAAAAAUAAGGCAAAAUAAAAAAUUAGAAAUCCAUGUAAAUGAUGCUCACUGUUAUUAUUCUGUCUAAGAAUCGUGGAAAAGUGUUUUAAAGGGAAGCAAGAAGCUGUGAAAUCUUCAAUGUGAGUUUAUGAACACAUCGGUUUGGUGGUUUGGUGUUGAUAUCUUUAAAAACAA
ensembl:lncRNA